UUUAUGGAGAGUUUGAUCCUGGCUCAGGAUGAACGCUGGCGGCGUGCCUAAUACAUGCAAGUCGAGCGAACAGAUAAGGAGCUUGCUCCUUUGACGUUAGCGGCGGACGGGUGAGUAACACGUGGGUAACCUACCUAUAAGACUGGAAUAACUCCGGGAAACCGGGGCUAAUGCCGGAUAACAUGUUGAACCGCAUGGUUCUACAGUGAAAGACGGUCUUGCUGUCACUUAUAGAUGGACCCGCGCCGUAUUAGCUA
rnacentral:rRNA from 1 species